AUGGCUUUAAUUCAAAGAUCAAAAAAGGGAUAUUAACAUUUAUGAUGAUACUUGAGUUAAACAGUAUUAUUGUCUGUGUGACCCUCUGAAGGUUGUG